UCGUCCGCCGAUGCCUAUAUAAAGUGCUGCUCCGGCGCCUGUUCUUUCUUUCGCUUCGUCGCGCGAGGAGGAGCCAUGAGACUAAACACUAUGUUUGUACUGCUGCAGUGCAAAAUGUACUCUGUGUCUGAAUAUCUGCUGCCAGAAGGGCAACGGAGAGGCCAUUCUGACUUCCUUGUGCAGGGAGUUCCAAAGUCGAGGGGCAGCCACCGAGAAGGAAGGCCUGCUCCCGUUCCCUCCAACUGAACUUACGAUUGAGGUGGGACCGAGAGAAAGGGCCUCCUGAAGAUCUUUGGGCCUGGGCAGGUCAUAAAAACAUCCACAUAUUUAGAAGACUAUUUGAUGGAGAAGGAUGGCUGAUCCUGAGUAUGAAAAAGACUUGACAAAAGAUAUAUUAGGAAUAAGCUGGAUUUCAGGUAGCAAGAGGGGAAGGAUUUAAUUCAAGACCUCCAGUUUUGGAUUGCAAAUUACAACUCUAAGAAGUCAAAUGGAGACAUGGUUUGACGUGUUCCCCAAGGAAAUUACAUCCGCAUAGGACCAAAUCAACUUCGAUCGUCUAGGUAGAUCUACGUAGAGUACUAGACAGGGAGAGAGUGUCCCUUUUGGUUCUCCUGGCCUUCGUUACCGUUGACCAUGGUUAACUUCUGGGCCGUCUGGCUGGAAUGGGACUUGGGAGCACUCUUUUACAAUAGCACCAUUCUUUCCUGGAGGGACGGACCCAGAAGGUGGUACUGGGGGACUCCUGCUCAAUCCAGUGGCCAUUGUUCUGCGGGGCCCUGUACUUUCCCCCCAUGUUGUUUAACAGCUACCUGAAGCGGCUGGGAAAGAUCAUCUGGAGUUCUGUGCCAUCUGUAUGUAGAUGGCACCCAACUCUUAUUACUCAUUCCACCAAAAGCCAAGGAAGUGGCCCAGACUCUGAACUGGUGCCUGUCAGCAGUAAUGGGCUGGAUGAAGAUUUAAAAAAUUGAAAUAGAAUCCAGACAAGACAGGGCCUGGUCAGUUGCAAGGCAAAUCGGUAUAGGGUAGCAUCUUGUGCAGGAUGGGAUAAUAUUCCCUGAAAUCACAUGUCCACAGCUUGCAGGUCCUCAUGGACUCAUAGCUAAACCUGGAGGCCCAGGUUUCAGCAGUGUCCAGGAAGGCCUUUGCACAAUUAUGUUUUACCUUGAUUUCUUUACAUGUUUUAUAUUCAUACAUUUGAUUGUUUAAUUUUGUACUGUUUUUAACAAGCUGGGAGAUGCUUUGGAUCCCCAUUGUGGGAGAAAAGUAGCAUAUAAAGAUUUACUAUUAUUAAGGAUCUGAGCACACUAGUUUGGGAACUGGUGCUACAAUUAUGGAAAAGCUUCAUUUGGAACUAAAGUUUGUGUGAUGAUGGAUCUUAAGUCUUAAAUGUUGAAUGCAGCCAAACUAAUAAAAUGCUGAAACUUUA